UACGUAGGGUGCGAGCGUUAAUCGGAAUUACUGGGCGUAAAGCGUGCGUAGGCGGUUCUCCAAGUCCGUUGUGAAAGCCCCGGGCUCAACCUGGGAAUGGCGGUGGAAACCGUAAGGCUAGAGUCCGGAAGAGGAGAGUGGAAUUCCCGGUGUAGCGGUGAAAUGCGCAGAUAUCGGGAAGAACACCCGUGGCGAAGGCGGCUCUCUGGGACGGUACUGACGCUGAGACGCGAAAGCGUGGGGAGCAAACAGG
rnacentral:rRNA from 1 species